rnacentral:rRNA from 1 species
UACAGAGGUCCCAAGCGUUGUUCGGAUUCAUUGGGCGUAAAGAGCUCGGUAGGCGGUUUGUCGCGUCUGCCGUGAAAGUCCGGGGCUCAACUCCGGAUCUGCGGUGGGUACGGGCAGACUAGAGUGAUGUAGGGGAGACUGGAAUUCCUGGUGUAGCGGUGAAAUGCGCAGAUAUCAGGAGGAACACCGAUGGCGAAGGCGG